rnacentral:rRNA from 1 species
GACGAACGUUGGCGGCGUGCUUAAUACAUGCAAGUCUACUGAAGCAGUGGUAGCAAUAUCGCUGUGGCGGUGGCGCACGGGUGAGUAACCCCUAGGUAAUCUGCCUUCAGUUCUGGCUUAACUCCGGGAAACCGGGGCUAAUAGCAGAUGAUGCACCGGCUCGACAUCGAGACAGUUGUUAAAGCUCUGUCGCCUGUAGAUGAGCCUGCGGCUGUUUAGUUAGUUGUCGGGUUAACGGCCCACCAAGGCAACGAUCAGUACCUGGUCUGAGAGGAUGAUCAGCCACACUGGAGCGGAGACACGGUCCAGGCUCCUACAGGAGGCAGCAAUAAGGAAUAUUGCUCAAAGGGAGAAAUCCUGAAGCAGCAACGCAGCGUGAGGGACGAAGGGCUUUUGCAUGUAAACCUCUGUAGUGAGAGAAAAAAAUCCCAAUCUGUGGGACAUGAUGGUAACUCAAAAGUAAGCCCCGGCUAACUACGUG